GGUUAAGGGUUGGGUUGAUGGUAGGACCAGAUGAUCUUAGUGGUCUUAAAUGACCACGUAAAUGACCUUAAUGAUUUUAUGAUUAUAUGACUAUGGCUUGUUCAUUCAGUAUCUGCUUUUGCCUUGACUCCUGUGGAAUGAAACAGAGGAUGAUUAUCACAGUCAGUCUCUUUUGGUUGAUCAGACUGCAAAAAGGAGAUGUUCCCCACCAGCUGCUAGCACAAUGCUGUCUCAAGCUAGAAUGGGGUAGAAAUAGAAAGAUGUUGAGCAAACGUGCACUCAAACACAGCAAAAGGGAGUCUUUGUAGUAUAUUCCACUCAUCCUCAGGGCCAAAACCGAACAGCUUUGGAAAUUGAAAGUGCUUUCCAGAUGAAUUUUCUGGGCCAGCAAAAGUCUGGCUAUCUCUGUGUAUCUGUCUUGUUCUCAGAGCUGGGCGAUGUUUCUCAUAAAAAUGCUUCUCUAGGAGAUUUGGCAAGUGCAGCUUGGUGGCACCGAAGUGUUUUGCAAGCACACAGAGAUUUUUGCAAAGGGUUUUCAAAAAAUAUGAAAAGGAUAAUGAAAAUUACCAGCUUCAGCUUCUGAAACAGCUUCUGAUUUUGGAGAGUUCUCUCAUUCUUCUAUACAAAAAAAAUACUCAGAGAUCUUCAGUGAUUGAAAUUACUACAGUUUGGGCAAAAGGGAACAUUUUGACCAAUCUGGGAUAAUCUUUCUCUUCCAUUUCCAACUAAAACUGUCAUCAAGUAAAACACAAAACCCAAACCUGUUUUCGUUCAUCAUGAAAAAGACUUUUUCCCCCCAAAAUCAGGAAAUUGCUCAGUGGCACUCUAAAAUAUAUAGUAGCAUGAUUUUCUGGUUGGUUUCCUCUUCCAAGUCUUUGUCGUGCAGCUGCCAAGCAAUAACCUUUCUGCAGUGUCUGAUGCCUGUGGCACAGGGAUGUGCAAAGCCCAACAUGUAAACAGCUCAGCCUGGGCUGAGGGACGUCCAGAUGAAAAUGUGUUAAACUUCAUAAGUUUUUUUUUUCUUCUUCUUUUUUCAAUAUUUGAAAUAACUCAGUGUUGUGGCAAGGCUGAAUCUUCAGGUGGAGCAGCAAAAUGUGCAGCCUCUGUAUGGACUGCAAAUGAAUUUUCUGCACGAGGCUUUGGUGGGUCGCUCAUGGGAUGGAGAUGGUCUUUGUAGAGCUGCAACUGCAUGGAGAUGGAGUGCAUUUCUAGGGGCUGGAGUUUGGUGCCAUCCCAACCCUGGAAAGGUUUGGGGGUGGUGAUGACUACAUUGCCAACGAUGGGGAAAAAAAUAAACACCUUGAUGUC